UAUACAUGCAGUCGAGCGAACAGAUGAGAAGCUUGCUUCUCUGAUGUUAGCGGCGGACGGGUGAGUAACACGUGGGUAACCUACCUAUAAGACUGGGAUAACUCCGGGAAACCGGGGCUAAUACCGGAUAAUAUUUUGAACCGCAUGGUUCAAUAGUGAAAGACGGUUUCGGCUGUCACUUAUAGAUGGACCCGCGCCGUAUUAGCUAGUUGGUAAGGUAACGGCUUACCAAGGCGACGAUACGUAGCCGACCUGAGAGGGUGAUCGGCCACACUGGAACUGAGACACGGUCCAGACUCCUACGGGAGGCAGCAGUAGGGAAUCUUCCGCAAUGGGCGAAAGCCUGACGGAGCAACGCCGCGUGAGUGAUGAAGGUCUUCGGAUCGUAAAACUCUGUUGUUAGGGAAGAACAAAUUUGUUAGUAACUGAACAAGUCUUGACGGUACCUAACCAGAAAGCCACGGCUAACUACGUGCCAGCAGCCGCGGUAAUACGUAGGUGGCAAGCGUUAUCCGGAAUUAUUGGGCGUAAAGCGCGCGUAGGCGGUUUCUUAAGUCUGAUGUGAAAGCCCACGGCUCAACCGUGGAGGGUCAUUGGAAACUGGGAAACUUGAGUGCAGAAGAGGAGAGUGGAAUUCCAUGUGUAGCGGUGAAAUGCGCAGAGAUAUGGAGGAACACCAGUGGCGAAGGCGGCUCUCUGGUCUGUAACUGACGCUGAUGUGCGAAAGCGUGGGGAUCAAACAGGAUUAGAUACCCUGGUAGUCCACGCCGUAAACGAUGAGUGCUAAGUGUUAGGGGGUUUCCGCCCCUUAGUGCUGCAGCUAACGCAUU
rnacentral:rRNA from 1 species